UUUCAGCAAAGAUGACAUACGUAGCGUGCCUAGUUGUGGUGCUUCAUGCGGACAUUAGACAAAAGUGCCUGCUUGAAGAGGACACUCCAACUGCUUUGAGGAGUGCUAUCUCGGCUUCGAGAAUUUUGGCGUCAUACGUGAACGCCACUGACAGGAUUCAGGUUCGGGAUAGCGACUUCAGUGGGUGUUGAAUUCGCGGAGGGCGAUGAGAUAAUGCAUACGGCGACAGUACCCGUCUUGCAACCUCACCGCCAGGAACGCUCGAAGGAUUCAACCUCCUUGCUGUCCACGCCCUGCGAAUACUGGGUUCGUGCGUGAAGGGUUCCGAAGCAAUAAAGAACAUGUUUGUGCAUUAUGAUACACCUGUGCC